rnacentral:rRNA from 1 species
UACGUAGGGUCCGAGCGUUGUCCGGAAUUACUGGGCGUAAAGCGUGCGCAGGCGGCUUUCCAAGCGCCACGUGAAAGCCCCGGGCUCAACCCGGGAGGGUCGUGGCGAACUGGGAGGCUUGAGGCCGGUAGAGGUGGGUGGAGCUCCUGGUGGAGUGGUGAAAUGCGUAGAUAUCAGGAGGAACACCUGUGGCGAAAGCGGCUCACUGGACCAUAACUGACGCUGAUGCACGAAAGCUAGGGGAGCAAACAGG